rnacentral:rRNA from 1 species
UCAGCUUGUUGGUGAGGUAACGGCUCACCAAGGCGACGACGGGUAGCUGGUCUGAGAGGAUGUCCAGCCACACUGGGACUGAGACACGGCCCAGACCCCUACGGGAGGCAGCAGUUAGGAAUCUUGCGCAAUGGACGAAAGUCUGACGCAGCGACGCCGCGUGCGGGAUGAAGGCCUUCGGGUUGUAAACCGCUUUCAGCAGGGACGAAAUUGACGGUACCUGCAGAAGAAGCCCCGGCCAACUACGUGCCAGCAGCCGCGGUAAUACGUAGGGGGCAAGCGUUGUCCGGAUUUAUUGGGCGUAAAGAGCUCGUAGGUGGUUCGGUAAGUCGGAUGUGAAAUCUCCAGACUCAACCUGGAGGGGUCAUUCGAUACUGCCGCGACUAGAGGUCGGUAGGGGAGUGUGGAAUUCCUGGUGGAGCGGUGAAAUGCGCAGAUAUCAGGAGGAACACCCGUAGCGAAGGCGGCACUCUGGGCCGAUACUGACACUGAGGAGCGAAAGCGUGGGGAGCGAACAGGAUUAGAUACCCUGGUAGUCCACGCCGUAAACGUUGGGCACUAGGUGUGGGACUCUAUCGACGGGUUCCGUGCCGUAGCUAACGCAUUAAGUGCCCCGCCUGGGGAGUACGG